rnacentral:rRNA from 1 species
CCUACGGGUGGCAGCAGUGAGGAAUAUUGGUCAAUGGUUGCGAGCCUGAACCAGCCAAGUAGCGUGAAGGAGGAAUGCCCUACGGGUUGUAAACCUCUUUUAUAAAGGAAUAAAGACAGGCACGCGUCCCCUUAUGUAUGUACCUUAUGAAUAAGCAUCUGCUAACUCCGUGCCAGCAGCCGCGGUAAUACGGAGGAUCCGAGCGUUAUCCGGAUUUAUUGGGUUUAAAGGGAGCGUAGAUGGGUUGUUAAGUCAGUUGUGAAAGUUCGCGGCUCAACCGUAAUAUUGCAAUUGAUACUGGCAGCCUUGAGUAGAGUUGAGGUAGGCGGAAUGCGCGGUGUAGCGGUGAAAUGCUUAGAUAUCGCGAAGAACUCCGAUUGCGAAGGCAGCCUACUAAACUGCCACUGACAUUGAUGCACGAAAGUGUGGGUAUCAAACAGGAUUAGAUACCCGAGUAGUC